rnacentral:lncRNA from 1 species
UUUUUCUAUCUUCUCUCCUCAAUCACUCGGCAGUGUGUCCGCCAAGUCCCCCGCCUCCCGUCGCCGCCGCCUCUGCCAGUUCUUUACUGACUGCUAACACAUCUCGGCUCGUGUUUACAUUAACUCUUCAGGAAGCUCUUCAGCUACACUGACGAUUGGACACUUCAUGUUUUGAUGUAUGGAAUUCCCUGUUUAAACACACAGCUCGCAAAAGGUCUGUAGAUGCGCGUCGACACAUACUCACCUUUAUCCUUCUCUCGCAUUUUUAACAAAUACCCAUCCCGCCACUUCUCUCUCUCUCUUUCUUUCUCUCUCUCUCUCUCUCUCUCUCUUUCUCUCUCUCUCUCUCUCUCUCUCUCUCUCUCUCUUCUUAAGGUGAAAGGCAAGUUUUGAAAGCAGCUUUAAAAAAUAAAUAAAUUAAUAGUAAAAGAAAUCUAUUAUUAUUUAUCCAUUGUUAAGAAUUAUUUAGAAAUUGCUUAGAGUGUCGGCAAAAAAAAAAAAAAAGCACUUUAUUCAUUACGUUCUGAGUUCAAAUCCCUUGGAGUUAAGCUUUGCCUCUCAUCCUUUCGGAAUCGAGAAAAAAGUGAUUCAGAAAUUAUUAGUGUCCAGAGAAAAUUGUUUUGUGGUAUUUGUUCCGACUCUUAACAUUUUGAGUUCAAAUAUCGCCAAAUUCAAGGUUGCCUUUUAUUCUUUAGGGAGAUCGAUAAAAUAAAGUACCAGUCAAGUACUGGAAUUUGAUGUAAUCAACUAUGCCGUUCCCCCAAAUUUCAGCCCAUGACCCUGUGGAAAGGAUUUUAUAUAUGUGUGUAUAUAUAUAUAUAUAUAUAUAUAUAUAUAUAUAUAUAUAUAUAUAUAUAUAUAUGCUGUCCGUUCUUCAAUACUUAUAUGGCGCGAACGAUUUCAUUUUUGUCAGCUUGGGACAUUGUCCCUUGUCUUGGGAGAAAGAAAUUGAAACACCUUUUUGUUCCGUAGUUGAUAGGUGCGAAGAAAAAAAAAAUUGGUAAAAAUUGUGCCUCUCACUGGCGAAGUUUCGGAAAAGCUAUGACUAUCUCAUUCAAAGGAAAAGAGAAAAAGGGCACAGAAAUUUGGGCGGGGGGGUAAAAUUUUUAAAAACUGAAAUUCUAGAAUUUAAAAAAAAUUCUUUCAAAAUUGGAAUUCGUUAUACGAAUCGGGGAUACUAAAAGAAUUGUAUAUUUAAAAGAAAAGCAUUCCAACUGCUUUUUCUUUUCCUUCUUCAAGAGAUGGUAACAACUAUUUCGAAACUUCGCCGCAAAAAAUCCGAGUUUUUUUUUUUUUUUUUUUCUUAGUGAAAAUCGUGCGGGUGUUAAUCUGUAAUUUUACCGAAAUUUACUGAAAAGAAUUUUAUUGCGUAAACACUAUUAAAUUUUGUUCAUUUCUAUAAUCCCUUGAUCAUAAUAACAUCAGUUUUUGUCUUUUAUUAACGACACAUUAAAUCUUCUUUGCUCCUUAUAUAAAUGUCCUUUUAUAUAAAUUUGCGAAAGUUAGUCGAAUACUUAUAACUUGUUUCUCUUUUUCCUUGUUGUUUGUACUAUUUAAACCUAGUGCUAAUGGUAAUUAAGUUUAUUAUAUUAUCUGUGUUUUUUUUUCUUCCUUUUUAAUUAAUAUCUCAGUGAAGGUCUGGAAUAGCACACCCACAUAAGUUGCAUUUUCUUCGUUUUGACGGGGCUUUUUCAAUUUUUUUUUCACACAUACUUCCAGAUGAUGUCGAGGGGAAAGCAUUUUUGCCAAUGUAACCAUAUAAAUAAUACUAUAACAUCUUACAACCUUCUAUAUAUUGUGUGCAUACACGCAAUUUUAUGUGUAUAAAUAAACAAAAGAAUUUACUACCCCCGAAGCAGUUCAACCAUUCAUUUCUCACACACUAUCAAUCGCACACAUGCUCCAGCUUGGUUUUGGUCGGUGCGUGCAUUUGGGAUUGUCUCGAAAGGAACUUUGACUUCUCUGUGUCUUUAAGGGCCUUUACGUAAAGUUGUUUAACACGAAACCAUUUUCGCAGCAAAGAAAAUGUGAAGUACAUUGCUUCUUCCUUUCUUCUUUUCUAUAUUCUCGUGGUUAAACUAAAACAUGCUCACACCAACAGCGCCAAUCUAGCACAUGUGCCGCUGCCCUUUAUCGCGGCUGUUAACCUUAAGGCGUCGUUUGUUGGGCAUUUAGGCGCUUUUAGAAGAUAACUCUACCACUAGGGAUAAUCUCUGCGUGUAUACACGCAAAAGUGUUUGUAUAUAAGCAAACACACACAUAUAUAUGUAGACACCCGUAUAUAUCCUUCCAUGUAUAGAUAUGCUUGUAUAUCGUAUGAAAACUUGUAUAUACAUAAGCAUACUUUCAUAAACACACAUGAGUAUGUGUUUUUACAUAGACAUAUGCAUGGUUUUAUAUAAGCAGUUAUAUGUUGUGUGUGUGUGUAUGCGCGUGUAAAUUACACAUACGAUUUUGGGUAUUUAAUUUUGUUCUGUAUACAUCACUGGGGUGUAACACA